GACCCGACUGCUAUUUGGGUGAGGAUAAGCCAUGCGAGUUGAAUGGGAUACCCAAAGUUCCCAUGGCAAACUGCUCAGUAACACAUGAUCAACUUACCCUAUGGAGGAAAAUAACCUCGGGAAACUGAGGAUAAUAUUCCAUAGUUGAAUCGGCUUGGAAAAGUUUUUCAAUAAAAGGGAUAAGGAAAAUGGUUCUUAUCUGCUAUAGGAUAGGAUCGUGUUCGAUUAUGGUUGUUGGUGAGGUAAAGGCUCACCAAGCCGAUAAUCGAUAGGGGCCGUGAGAGCGGGAGCCCCGAGAUGGGUACUGAGACAACGACCCAGGCCUUACGAGGCGCAGCAGGCGCGAAACCUCCGCAAUACACGAAAGUGUGACGGGGUUACCCAAAGUGUUCUAUUUAGAACUGUGGUAGGUGAGUAAUGUCCCCUACUAGAAAGGAGAGGGCAAGGCUGGUGCCAGCCGCCGCGGUAAAACCAGCUCUUCAAGUGGUCGGGAUAAUUAUUGGGCUUAAAGUGUCCGUAGCCGGUUUAGUAAGUUCCUGGUAAAAUCGGGUAGCUUAACUAUCUAUAUGCUAGGAAUACUACUAUACUAGAGGGCGGGAGAGGUCUGAGGUACUACAGGGGUAGGGGUGAAAUCUUAUAAUCCUUGUUGGACCACCAGUGGCGAANGCGUCAGACUGGAACGCGCCUGACGGUGAGGGACGAANGCCAGGGGAGCGAACCGGAUUAGAUACCCGGGUAGUCCUGGCCGUAAACGAUGCAUACUANGUGAUGGUACGGCCAUGAGCCGUGUCAGUGCCGUNNGGAAACCGUUAAGUGUGCCGCCUGGGAAGUA
rnacentral:rRNA from 1 species